UAGGGAAUCUUCCGCAAUGGGCGAAAGCCUGACAGAGCAACGCCGCGUUAGUGAUGAAGGUCUUCGGUUUGUAAAACUCUUUUAUUAGGGAAGAACAAAUGUGUAAGUAACUAUGCACGUCUUGACGGUACCUAAUCAGAAAGCCACGGCUAACUACGUGCCAGCAGCCGCGUUAAUACGUAGGUGGCAAGCGUUAUCCGGAAUUAUUGGGCGUAAAGCGCGCGUAGGCGGUUUUUUAAGUCCGAUGUGAAAGCCCACGGCUCAACCGUGGAGGGACAUUGGAAACUGGAAAACUUGAGUGCAGAAGAGGAAAGUGGAAUUCCGAGUGUAGCGGUGAAAUGCGCAGAGAUAUGGAGGAAAACCAGUAGCGAAGGCGACAUGCUGGUCUGUAACUGACACAAAUGUGAGAAAGGGUGGGGAUCAAACAGG
rnacentral:rRNA from 1 species